CUGGCGGCGUGCCUAAUACAUGUUAGAAGAGGGAACAGAGAAAGUGCUUGCACUUUCAAAGUUACCGGCGGACGGGUGAGUAACACGUAAGGAACCUACCGAUAAGCGGGGGACAACAUCCGGAAACGGGUGCUAAUACCGCAUAGGAAGUUUGUUCGCAUGAACAAACUUAGAAAGAUGGCUCUGCUAUCACUUAUUGAUGGCCUUGUGGUGCAUUAACUAGUUGGCGAGGUAACGGCUCACCAAGGUGAUGAUGCAUAGCCGACCUGAGAGGGUAAUCGGCCACAUUGGGACUGAGACACGGCCCACACUCCUACGGGAGGCAGCAGUGGGGAAUCUUCCGCAAUGGACGAAAGUCUGACGGAUCAACGCCGCGUGAGUGAAGAAGGUCUUCGGAUUGUAAAGCUCUGAUAUACGGGACGAAAAAGACGGAUGCCAACAUUAUCCGUCUGUGACG
rnacentral:rRNA from 1 species